CCUACGGGUGACAGCAGUGAGGAAUAUUGGUCAAUGGCCGGAAGGCUGAACCAGCCAUGCCGCGUGAAGGUCAGUGCCCUAUGGGCGUUAAACUUCUUUUGUGCGGGAGCAAUAAUGGUCACGUGUGGCCAGACGAGAGUACCGUACGAAUAAGCAUCGGCUAACUCCGUGCCAGCAGCCGCGGUAAUACGGGGGAUGCAAGCGUUAUCCGGAUUCAUUGGGCGUAAAGCGCGCGUAGGCGGCUGCCUAAGCGGAACCUCUAACCCCGGGGCUCAACCUCGGGCCGGGUUCCGAACUGGGGGGCUCGAGUGCGGUAGAGGAGAGCGGAAUUCCCGGUGUAGCGGUGGAAUGCGCAGAUAUCGGGAAGAACACCGAUGGCGAAGGCAGCUCUCUGGGCCGGCACUGACGCUGAGGCGCGAAAGCUGGGGGAGCGAACAGGAUUAGAUACCCGUGUAGUC
rnacentral:rRNA from 1 species